rnacentral:rRNA from 1 species
UACGAAGGGGGCUAGCGUUGCUCGGAUUGACUGGGCGUAAAGGGCGCGUAGGCGGCCUGCUAAGUCGAACGUGAAAUCCCUGGGCUCAACCCAGGAACUGCGUCCGAUACUGGUUGGCUUGAAUCCGGGAGAGGGACGUGGAAUUCCAGGUGUAGCGGUGAAAUGCGUAGAUAUCUGGAGGAACACCGGUGGCGAAGGCGACGUCCUGGACCGGCAUUGACGCUGAGGCGCGAAAGCCAGGGGAGCAAACGGG